rnacentral:misc_RNA from 1 species
GAACUGCGAUAAGUAAUGUGAAUUGCAGAAUUCAGUGAAUCAUCGAGUCUUUGAACGCACAUUGCGCCCCCUGGCAUUCCGGGGGGCAUGCCUGUCCGAGCGUCAUUGCUGCCCUUCAAGCCCGGCUUGUGUGUUGGGUCGUCGUCCCCCCCGGGGGACGGACCCGAAAGGCAGUGGCGGCACCGUGUCCGGUCCUCGAGCGUAUGGGGCUUUGUCACCCGCUCGAUUAGGACCGGCCGGGCGCCCGCCGGCGUCAAACCCCAAUCUUUCUAAGGUUGACCUCGGAUCAGGUAGGGAUACCCGCUGAACUUAAGC